UCUGUCUGUUCCUGACCCCUGACCCCUGACAGAGGCAGAGCUGUGUGGAACUGAUAUAGCCUCAAUAGACCUGACGACCCUGGAGGUUCUUCACAUCUCCAGUCUGGAGGAGAGAGAGCAGCUCCUAUCAGCUGUUUACAGAGAGCUACACCCGCCCAGCACCACCUCACAGAGACUGGACUCCCUGUUGGAAACUGUUGAUCCUAACAACGUAGAGAAAUUCACAGCAGCAUUGGUGGCCAUGAGCCAAUCAAAGUCCUUCCAACGUGUAAGCUGCCUCAACAUGAAUCAAACAAAAUCCUUUAAAUUCAGAUGCAAAAGCCCGAACCCUAUGAACCAGAGGACCUCUCUGCUGAUGGAGAUCACCAUAAAUGCGUCGGUGCAGAUAGUCCACCUGCGGACCCCCAGGGAAACCACGGUGGGGAAGGUGAUGGAGUCCUGUCUAAGGAUGCUAGGAAUGACCGAGGACAAGGACCUCUUCAGCCUCACAGACAAACCAGGUUCUUCAGAGGAGCUGUCAUCAGACCUGCAGAUAGUUGACUUGGCAAGCUCAGAGAACAAAUAUCUAGAGUUGUAUCUGUGCAAAAAGGAUAAACCUAAAGGUGUUGUCAAGCCCCAAUCCCCAGCUCCUUCUUUCAAUGGGUCCCUUGGCAACGGUCCAGUCAAUCAAACCCGCCAGGUACAAGGGGUCAGCCAGCCAGGUAAAGAGGAAAAGAUACGCGAACUCAAUGAACAGGUGGACUCUCUACAGAACGUCAUCCUGCAGGUUCAGGAGAUCCACCACGGGCUGGUAGCAUUCUGUUCAGAGCUGAAGAGAAUGGAUGGGGAGGUGGAUGUGUCAGGGCUGAGAUCCCCAGAGCUGAAGCAGCGCCUUGGGCUGGCUCUGGGACUGCUCAGGGACAAGAGACACAGUCUAAAGAGCCUCCGAGAGUCCAUGAGAAACACAGCCGUUCGCAGGAAUGAGCGAUCAGAGGUUCGUCUUCUGGAUAAGAUGAAGCUGAACUGUCAGGUGUUUAAAGAAGAAAUCUCUCUGGUGCACCUCAAUCGACAAGUAGCCCAUCUACAGAAAGCACUUCAGGACAGCCAAGUCAAGGAGAGAUCCCUCCAGUCCCAGUCUCACCAGAGGAAGUGUUCUACCCUGGGCCAACUGGUCACUCCCCAGUGUCCUGCCAUGCUACUGGUUGUCCAGGAGAGCCGUGGGAAAGAUGGGCGGUAUGGAUUCACCUUCCAACUCUCACAGGACAGAGGACUGGUGGUGAUACAGGUGGACAACUCACAUUCACCCCUCUGUCUGGAGGACAGGUACAUUUUUAUUUUAUUUUACUGUUAUUUUACCAGGUAUGUUGACUGAGAACACAUUCUCAUUUACAGCCUCAACCUGGGGAAUAGUUACAGGGGAGAGGAGGAGGGGGAUGAAUGAGCCAAUUGUAAAUACCCUGUAUUAUACUGUACCAUACACUAACAGGUAAAUAUACUAAACAGGACACCUUAGAUACCAACAUAGAGCAUGACACCUUAGAUACCAACAUAGGGAUGGACUGUGUAGGGCAGGACACCUUAGAUACCAACAUAGGGAUGGACUAUAU
rnacentral:lncRNA from 13 species